AGGUACCUUUCUUGGCUGAUCCCUUUCGCGUUAUGGCGUGCUCGUUUGGGUUGGGCAUCGGCUAGAAGUGCUCGGAGCGCGGAUUAACUCCAGUCUCCUAUCAGAUAUCAAAACUACUGUGGGCUCAGGGAUCGUCGAGGAUUGUCAUCACACUAUCUAACCUUGUUUUGGUACUUUUGAAAUGGAUAUAUUAAAAUAUGCAUGCAUAGGCUAGAAGUGUUUGGAUUAUGUUUUGUAAUGUUUAUACCAUGCCAUAUGAUAUGGCUAGCUUGUGUUUAAACUUAUGGUUGGGAAUGUUAUAUGGUAUGUGAGGCAUUAUGAAUUAUAUGGUAUGUUUUGAAUGACCAAAAGAAUUGGUCAAUGUUGAUAAGUUUUGGUAAGUUUUGAGCA